CAUUGAUAUUUGAAUACUUAUAAAGUUGUGUUAAAUAAAUUUCUAUACAAGGGAAUAUAUUAAGCAUAAACUAUGUCUUAUAUAGAUCAUCGCGUUUUUAAUCUACCCCUAACAACUACAACCACUAUUUUGCCUCCCCUUCUUAUCGUUUGAUAUUUUUCAUUGUUUCUCUCGAUCCAAUAGCAGGAAAUACUUCCGAACUCUUUAAUCCACUCGGUCGUAGUUUUCAAAGUUUAUGGUGGUACUAAAGAAGCAAGAUGGCUGUGAAAGAAUUGUAAACUGUAUCGUGUAUUUUAAAUGUUUCAAAGAAAAUUUUAUAUUCGGGAUAUAUUAUAGAUUAAAGUAACACGAAUAAUUAUUAAUAAUACUUGAUCUUUCACAAAUUUGAUAAAUAUCGAAGCAAAAUGACUGAAGAAACGCAGCAACCUGAAACACCCGUGCAAAACGAAGCACAGGCUAGUUCUCCGGAUGUUGGUAAACUUAGAGAUAACAAGAAAGAAAAAUGCCGACCUAUGACUAAGGUGAUUCUACGUCGACUUCCACCAACAAUGACUUCAGAUCAGUUAAUGGAACAAAUUUCUCCGUUAGCUGAACAUGAUUAUUUUCAUUUUGUCAAAGCCGAUAUGUCGCUUGGUCAAUAUGCAUUUUCCCGUGCUUAUAUUAAUUUCAUGGAUCAACAAGAUAUAUUUACCUUCAAAGAAAAGUUUGAUAAUUAUGUAUUCGUCGACUCAAAAGGUGCAGAGUAUCCAGCCGUAGUAGAAUUUUCACCAUUUCAAAGAUUACCAAAGAAAAGAGUUGGGAAAAAAAAAGAUUUGAAAUGUGGUACCAUAGAAUCAGAUUCAUAUUAUAUAAGUUUCUUAGAAAGUCGUAAAAAUCAGGAAGCUGAUUCAACUAACGCUCAACCAAAAACAGAAUAUUCUUAUCAACCAGCGGACAAUACAUUAAAAAAAGUUACAACGACACCUCUUCUGGAGUACUUAAAACAACGUAAACAAGAAAAACAACGUCUCAGAGAUGAGAAACGUGAAGAAAGAAGAAGACGGGAAUUGGAAAGACGGAGAAUUAAAGACGAUCCAAUUAUAUCUAAGCCUGUAUAUAAUGUUGAAGAUGUCUGCUCCAAGUAUUGCUUCAUCGCAACUGUAUCGUGUACAAACUUAGAAGCCAUUCAUUUUGAAAACCAAAUUAUAAAUGAAAACAAAGUAUUUUCAAUGGAAGAAAACAGUAAUGACCCAAUUUUAAACGGUAGAUUGAAAAUCGAUAAUAAAUUGCAUGCUUACAAAGAAUUGAAUUGCUGCAAUAAAUUUGCUAAUUCAUAUAUCAAAUCUAAUAAAAAUAAUUUAUCGCUUGUAAAGAAAUAUAUAAGAAAUAAUACUAAACACAACAAAUUCAACAACACUUACGAUUUGCGUAAAGAAAAUUAUGCGCAAAAUAAUUCUGAAUUGAAUAAAGAGAAGCGCAUUUAUCAUUGGUGCAACACUAAAAAUAAUUUCAUAGAUAACAAGCAUAAAUUUAAAACCGGUCAAUGUAUUGGAAGAAAUGAAUAUUUUUCAAUGUUUUCGGAAACACAAUUUAGAAACAUCCAUAAUAUGUGGAAAUUGCAUACAACUAAUGAUACAUUCAAUUCGAGGAAUCAUAAUGCGGUACUUAAGAAUCCUGACUUGGACAAAGACACGAACAAGGAUAAUAAAGAAAAUAAGGAUGAUAGGGAUAAAGUAUCACCAAAGGAUUUAAAAAAUCGCAAUAAAAGGGAUGAAAAAUUGCGUGAAAAAAUACCGCGUGAUAGAGAUCUGAAACCUUUAACAAAAGGAUAUAGAGAAAGAAUGGACGAUCGAAAUAAAGAUAGAGAUAUAAAACAUCAAAGACGACAUGACGAUAAAAAACUUUAUGGAAGACGAGAUGACAGAGACUUAUUCAAAGAAGACAAAAAAAAUGAUAUUCGAGAUAAUAAAAAUUAUGAAAUUAGAGAGGAUUUCAAAGAAUCUAAAGAACGAAGGAUUGAAGAAAAAAAAGGUAAAAGUUAUGAAAAAAUGAGACUUGAAAAAAAAAGAUUAGCCGAAAAUAAACGAAAUAAUACGGAUCCUAAUACCGAUAAUGUCAUAACAGUUACAUGCAUAAUGAAAGAAAACCAGAAUAUAACUCAAGAAUCUACCGAAGAGGGAUUAAUUUCUUCUACUUCCAAAGGUGUAAUGGAAUUUGUAAAUGAAAAAAAUGAUGGAAAAAAUAAUGAAAAUAUAAAAUUAAUUGAAAAUGAACAGGAUAUUGAAUUUGUAUCUGAUCAAACUAAGGAUACUGAAACUAGUAUUCGGACUGAAAAAGAUGCAACUGAAAAGUCAAGAUCUAUUGAACACAUUAACCGAGAAACUGGUAUUGAUACUGAAUCUGAAGAAAUAAAAGAAUCUAAGGUUGUGAAAAGACGUAGUUCUUUAGAAAGUGGUGGUGAAGGAGGUACCGGAGACAAUAAUUGCUUGAGACGCCAUAAAUCAUUAGAUGGCGAUGGACAAAGUAAUUUACAAAAAUCCGAAAUUGAAGAUAAGGAAAAAGAUAAAAAGGAUCCACGAUUAGAACGUAGAAUUCGAAAUAAGGAUCGCCCUGCUAUGGAAAUUUAUAGACCAGGUAUGGGGAAAUUUAGUAAACAACGCUUAGAACGGGAAAAAUCAAAUAAUGACGAUCGAGCUUCCCUUUCACAAAGUCCAACUCCAAAUACUACAACUUCCACUGUUUCUAAAACUGCUAAAUCUGGAUCAGAAGUUCGUUCUAUGACAUUUAAGCGUAGUGUUAGCCGUGAUAUUUCAUAACGUGUACUGAUGAGUCAUAUUUACCAAUAUGUACGAUCUAUAUUGUAAACAAAAAAAUAGCAUAUAUUUUACAAAUACUAGCCCCACAUUAAGGUUGCUUUUAAUAUUGUUUCUCAGGAAUUUUAAGUCAUUUAAUAAUGUAGAUCUCUAAUUUAAGUCGUGUAA
rnacentral:misc_RNA from 1 species